rnacentral:rRNA from 1 species
CCUACGGGAGGCAGCAGUGAGGAAUAUUGGUCAAUGGCCGGAAGGCUGAACCAGCCAAGCCGCGUGAGGGAGGAAGGCGCAGAGCGUCGCAGACCUCUUUUGCCGGGGGACAAAAGGCCGGACGGGUCCGGUUCUGAGGGUACCCGGAGAAAAAGCAUCGGCUAACUCCGUGCCAGCAGCCGCGGUAAUACGGAGGAUGCGAGUGUUAUCCGGAUUUAUGGGGUUUAAAGGGUGCGCAGGCGGGCCUUUAAGCCGGCGGUGAAAUGGCGGGGCUAAACCCCGCCGAGCCGUCGGAACUGGGGGCCUUGAGUGCGGUGGAGGCAGGCGGAAUGCGCGGUGUAGCGGUGAAAUGCAUAGAUAUCGCGCAGAACCCCGAUUGCGAAGGCAGCGUGCCGUGCCGCCACUGACGCUGAGGCACGAAAGCGCGGGGAUCGAACAGGAUUAGAUACCCUUGUAGUC